CAGCAGCCACGGUAAUACGAAGGGGGCUAGCGUUGCUCGGAAUUACUGGGCGUAAAGGGCGCGUAGGCGGAUAGUUUAGUCAGAGGUGAAAGCCCAGGGCUCAACCUUGGAAUUGCCUUUGAUACUGGCUAUCUUGAGUUCGGAAGAGGUAAGUGGAAUGCCGAGUGUAGAGGUGAAAUUCGUAGAUAUUCGGCGGAACACCAGUGGCGAAGGCGACUUACCGGUCCGAUACUGACGCUGAGGCGCGAAAGCGUGGGGAGCAAACAGGAUUAGAUACCCCCGUAGUCCCUGUCUCUUAUAA
rnacentral:rRNA from 1 species